UACGUAGGGGGCUAGCGUUGUCCGGAAUCAUUGGGCGUAAAGCGCGUGUAGGCGGCCCGAUAAGUCCGCUGUGAAAGUCCAGGGCUCAACCCUGGGAUGCCGGUGGAUACUGUCGGGCUAGAGUGCGGAAGAGGCGAGUGGAGUUCCUGGUGUAGCGGUGAAAUGCGCAGAUAUCAGGAGGAACACCAAUUGCGAAGGCAGCUCGCUGGGACGUUACUGACGCUGAGACGCGAAAGCGUGGGGAGCAAACAGG
rnacentral:rRNA from 1 species